GAUGAAUGCUGGCGGCGUGCCUAACACAUGCAAGUCGAGCGGCAGCGCGAGUAGUUUACUACUUGGCGGCGAGCGGCGGACGGCUGAGUAACGCGUGGGAACAUGCCCCAAAGUGAGGGAUAACUGCUCGAAAGGGUAGCUAAUACCGCAUAUGGUCUUCGGAUUAAAGGAUUUAUCCGCUUUGGGAGUGGCCUGCGUACGAUUAGAUAGUUGGUGAGGUAAUGGCUCAACAAGUCGACGAUCGUUAACUGGUCUGAGAGGAUGAUCAGUCAGACUGGAACUGAGACACGGUCCAGACUCCUACGGGAGGCAGCAGUGAGGAAUCUUCCACAAUGGGCGAAAGCCUGAUGGAGCAACGCCGCGUGCAGGAUGAAGGCCUUCGGGUCGUAAGCUGCUUUUAUGAGUGAAGAAUAUGACGGUAACUCAUGAAUAAGCACCGGCUAACUACGUGCCAGCAGCCGCCGUAA
rnacentral:rRNA from 1 species